UUGAACGCUGGCGGCAUGCUUUACACAUGCAAGUCGAACGGCAGCGCGGGCUUCGGCCUGGCGGCGAGUGGCGAACGGGUGAGUAAUACAUCGGAACGUGCCCAGUAGUGGGGGAUAGCUCGGCGAAAGCCGGAUUAAUACCGCAUACGACCUGAGGGUGAAAGCGGGGGAUCUUCGGACCUCGCGCUAUUGGAGCGGCCGAUGGCAGAUUAGCUAGUUGGUGGGGUAAAGGCCUACCAAGGCGACGAUCUGUAGCUGGUCUGAGAGGACGACCAGCCACACUGGGACUGAGACACGGCCCAGACUCCUACGGGAGGCAGCAGUGGGGAAUUUUGGACAAUGGGCGAAAGCCUGAUCCAGCAAUGCCGCGUGUGUGAUGAAGGCCUUCGGGUUGUAAAGCACUCUUGGCGGGAACGAAAAGGACUGUGCCAAUACCACGGUUCGAUGACGGUACCCGCAGAAUAAGCACCGGCUAACUACGUG
rnacentral:rRNA from 1 species